rnacentral:rRNA from 1 species
GCGGCAUGCCUUACACAUGCAAGUCGAACGGCAGCGCGGGGCAACCUGGCGGCGAGUGGCGAACGGGUGAGUAAUAUAUCGGAACGUACCCUGGAGUGGGGGAUAACGUAGCGAAAGUUACGCUAAUACCGCAUACGAUCUAAGGAUGAAAGUGGGGGAUUCGCAAGAACCUCAUGCUCCUGGAGCGGCCGAUAUCUGAUUAGCUAGUUGGUAGGGUAAAAGCCUACCAAGGCAUCGAUCAGUAGCUGGCCUGAGAGGACGACCAGCCACACUGGAACUGAGACACGGUCCAGACUCCUACGGGAGGCAGCAGUGGGGAAUUUUGGACAAUGGGCGCAAGCCUGAUCCAGCAAUGCCGCGUGAGUGAAGAAGGCCUUCGGGUUGUAAAGCUCUUUUGUCAGGGAAGAAACGGCCUGUUCUAAUACAGUGGGCUAAUGACGGUACCUGAAGAAUAAGCACCGGCUAACUACGUGCCAGCAGCCGCGGUAAUGCGUAGGGUGCAAGCGUUAAUCGGAAUUACUGGGCGUAAAGCGUGCGCAGGCGGUUUUGUAAGUUUGUC